rnacentral:rRNA from 1 species
UACGUAGGGUGCGAGCGUUAAUCGGAAUUACUGGGCGUAAAGCGUGCGCAGGCGGUUUUGUAAGUCAGAUGUGAAAUCCCCGGGCUCAACCUGGGAAUGGCAUUUGGGACUGCAAGGCUCGAGUGCGGCAGAGGAGACUGGAAUUCCUGGUGUAGCAGUGAAAUGCGUAGAUAUCAGGAGGAACACCGAUGGCGAAGGCAGGUCUCUGGGCUGACACUGACGCUCAUGCACGAAAGCGUGGGGAGCAAACAGG